ACGGACACGGAGCUGGCACAAGGACACCAAUGUCACCUGGGUGUCACCUGGAGCCAUCACACAGAACUGGCACGGUGACAGAGAUGUGGCACAGGGACACGGAGCUGGGACAGUGACACGAGUGUGACACAGGGACACGGAGCUGAGACAGUGACACCGAUGUCACCUGGAGGUGUCACCUGGAUGUCACCUGGAGCCAUCACACGCAGCUGGCACGGUGACAGAGAUAUGACACAAGGACACAGAGCUGGGACAGUGACACGGAUGUCACCUGAGUGUCACCUGGAUGUGUCACACGGAGCUGGCACAAGGACACGGAUGUGACACGGGGAUAUGGCUGUCACCUGGGUGUGACACAGGGACAUGGAGCUGGCACAGGGACACUGGUGUCACCUGGAUGUGGCACACGGAGCUGGCACAAUGACAGAUGUGACACAGGGACAUGGAGCUGGGACAGUGACAUGGAUGUCACCUGGAUGUGGCACAGGGAUAGUGAUGUCACCCAAUGUCACCUGGAUGUCACCUGGAGAUGUCACACAGCUGGCACGGUGACAGAGAUGUGACACGGGGACACGGAGCUGAGACAGUGACACCGAUGUCACCUGGAGGUGUCACCUGGAUGUGGCACAAGGACACUGAUGUCACCUGGUGUCACCUGGAGCCGUCACACGGAACUGGCACGGUGACAGAGAUGUGACACAGGGACACGGAGCUGGGACAGGGACACGAUGUCACCUGGAGGUGUCACCCAGAGCUGGCACAGGACACAGCUGUGACGCUGGGACAGUGACACGGAUGUCACCUGGGUGUGGCACAAGGACACCGAUGUCACCUGGAGGUGUCACACAGCUGGCACGGUGACACAGGUGUGACACAGGGACACGGAGCUGGGACAGUGACAGAGAUGUCAGCAGGAUGUCACCUGGAUGUGGCACACAGAGCUGGCACAAGGACAUUGAUGUCACCUGAUGUCACCUGGAGCCGUCACCCGGAGCUGGCACAGUGACAGAGAUGUCACCUGGAUGUGAUACAAGGACACCGAUGUCACCUGGAGGUGUCACACAGAACUGGCACGGUGACAUGGGUGUGACACAGGGACACGGAGCUGGGACAGGGACACAGCUGUCACCUGAUGUCACCUGGAGGUGUCACCUGGAUGUGGCACAGGGACACCAAUGUCACCUGGAUGUCACCACGGUGUCACCUGGAGGUGUCACCCAGAGCUGGCACAGUGACAGAUGUGACACAAGGACACGGAGCUGGCACAGUGACACUGAUGUCACCUGGAUGUGUCACACAGCUGGCACGGUGACACGAGUGUGACGCAAGGACAUGGAUGUCACCUGGGUGUGACACAGGGACGCAGAGCUGGCACGGGGACAUGGAUGUCACCUGGAGAUGUCACCCGGAGCUGCUGUGCCCCAGUGUCAACCGAUGUCACCUGAUGUCACCUGGACCUGGCUUGGUGUCCCAAUGUCACCUGGAUGUCACCUGAUGUCACCCAGACCUGGCACGGUGACAGGAAUGUCACCCGGAGCUGGCUGUGCCCCGAUGUCACCCAAUGUCACCCGAUGUCACCCGGUGUCACCCAGAGCUGGCUGUGCCCCAGUGUCACCCGAUGCCACCUGAUGUCACCUGGACCUGGCCGGGUGCCCCAAUCUCACCUGGUGUCACCUGAAGUCACCCAGACCUGGCACGGUGCCAUGGCUGUCGCCUGGUGUCACCUGGAUCAGGCACAGUGACAGGGAUGUCACCUGGAGCUGGCAGUGCCCUGAUGUCACCUGGUGUCACCCAGACCUGGCACAGUGACAGGGAUGUCACCUGGAUGUCACCUGGUGUCACCCGAUGUCACCCGGACCUGGCACAGUGCCCCAAUGUCACCUGAUGUCACGUGGACCAGGCACAGUGACAGGGAUGUCACCCGGGGCUGGCUGUGCCCCGAUGUCACCUGGACCUGGCCAGGUGCCCCGAUGUCACCCGGUGUCACCCUGUGUCACCCGGAGCUGCUGUGCCCUGUUGUCACCGUUGUCACCUGAUGUCACCCAAUGUCACCCCGUGUCACCCGGGGCUGGCUGUGCCCCGAUGUCACCCAAUGUUACCCAAUGUCACCGAUGUCACCGGUGUCACACCCGAUGCGGAUCUGUGCCAAUGAAAUGUUCUAUGAAUUAAAAACAGCUGAGCUGG